rnacentral:ribozyme from 1 species
UGCCCAGCAACUCAUAUCCCUACCUGCUCGCGGUACUGGCCGGGGUACGAGUAACCUUAGGGAAGAUCGGGUAACCAACCCCCGGUGGGAACUUUGGUCGUAUGCUGACAGGGAAGG